ACUUGGAGUUUUUGUUAUAUUUUUGAAAGAAAGGUAGCAUACCUUUUUAUCCUCAUAGGUUCUCUCAGAUCACUCAUUAUCUUUUAUAUAUAUCUCACUGAGGUUGUUUUAUUUUUGCAAAAAUUCUCAAGCAUACUUACUUUGCAUUUAUUGGCUGAUCAAAACGGGAUCCGAGGAGGGGAAUGUCAUACUCUUAGAUCAAAGACUUUGGAAAUUAAAAUCUUUGUCAACUCUUGCUGGCAUAUUGCUUAUUAGAGGAACCAUGGGCUAUCAUUUUUUUCUUCCUUUUUUUAAGUGGAUACCGAGGUACCUCUAAUUCUACUGCCGGACACUUGUCCAUUUUUUCUGCGAGGUUGUCGAGCACUUGCUCCUUUUUAUUUCCUCGAAAUAUUUCUAUUUUUACAUAGCCCAUGCCUCUAAUGCAAUAAUACUUCGGAAGAGUGAAUCUUACUGAAAUAAUGUCUUGAUCUUAGGAGCAUGAUAAAUCUCUCAACAAGGGUCUAACUCAUUUUGAACAAACUCAAUACAGAGUAGAUAGCUUUAUAAUCAUCAUUAAUAUUUUUAUUUUUAUCAGGCAUAUAAAACACUGAGGAUGGUAGCUAGAAUUUUGAACAUUUUGAAAUAAAUUCUCCAAGCAACAAUGAUAUCAAGAAUAAGAAACUCAUACUCUACCAUCACAUAUUCCAUAUUGACUUGAGUAACACAGGGUUUUAAAAUGAUUUUAUAAUAAUUGCAAGUUUUCAGGAAAUAUCACAGAUUGAGAUUAAUCAUGAUUAGAAAUAUUUUAAUCUUUUUAUUUUAUCAUGUCGGAAACAGUAAUCUGCAUAAUCCAAAAUAAAUGUAUGUAUGAAGUAAAGUGUGCAGAGUGUGUACCUGAGUGGUGGAGUGGUGUAGUUGGAGUGUGUUUGGCAUGUCGAGGGAUCUCCCCCAUACUUGUUUUCUGCUUUCUUGCACAAAAAUAAAGUAGAGACACACAAGACAUAAUAAUAAUAAUAGUAAUACUCUUUAUUGAUCUUGAGGCAUUUAUUACAAAAGACUGAUAGCAAACUGAUGAUAAUAGCAAACUGAUGAUAAUUGUAAACCUAAACCGAAUUUAAAGAUAGAUAACUAAGAUGCAUUCCCUCAAGGUAUAAUCUAGAUAACUUAGCGGCGCUCUAAUUCCUUGAUCUUCUUAUUGGCACUGGCAAGAUCCUGCCUAAGGCCUAGUAUAAUUGUGUUGUGGUUA
rnacentral:lncRNA from 1 species